rnacentral:lncRNA from 1 species
GCAGGGUCAAUGUCGCUAGAAGGCGUCCAGGGGCCACAAGAAAAGCUGGGAACAUCGUUGUCUCGCAGCUCAAUGAUUUUCUAAGAGGUUAGCCGCUAGCCUUUCAUUUUUAAACUUUCUUCUUUGUUUCUACUGUUUCUUUUUGUUCUUCUAUCUACAGUGGUACGUAUUGUCGCCAGGACAGCGAACGAUAGUCUGGAGGCCGGAAGCAAAUUGGUGCCUGUGAGUGGAUUUUUUUUCUGCCAUGGAUCGUUGAAGUGAUCUUAGUUAGUGGCAAGCAAAGUCUAGUUUCGAAUUGUUUGCGUGAGUUUGAAAGUUCUCUGGAGUGUUUUUUUUUUUUUGUCACUGGAGUCGUGUUGCUUGACUGUCAAAGUCUCUCGUUUUGUUCUUCUCAAGCGUUUGAUUUGGUGGCUAAGCACCUUUGUUUUUUAAUUUCCAGGAAUCUGUGCCGAGGCCUGCUGCGAAGGCAAUUGUCGCCGUUCUAGGAAUCGUGGCCACCUCCUUCCUGUUUAGCUCUCUACUUUCGCUCGCGAGCUUGGCCCUGGUAAGGCCUUUUCCUCUUUUCUACGGAACAAACUCUUGUUUUUGUUUCAGGGAAUCGCUGGAAUUGCGUAUUUUGCGUACGUCUACUUUAGCAGAGACGCAAGUGGUGGCAAAAGGAGCCAGCCCAGCAGCACGGAGUCAAGCUUAGAGGAAGCCAGGAGGAUCAUGGAAAAGUACAAGUAGGGGAGAAAAAGAAGCUCCAGGUGCGCAUACGUUUCUCUCAUCAAUCUCGAGCAUACUUUCGAGAAACUCGAAGCUUCGGGUUGCAAAGUCAAUGAUUUCUUCAUGAGGACGCAACAGGGAUUUGUAACUAAUGGUGCCUACUUCCCAGUUUCUAGAGGCGUUGAUCUCGAGUUUGAGAUUGGAGGAGAGAAGGGGAAAAAGAGGGAAGUGGCCUAUCAAGCACACACAACCUCUAUAGUGCUCGCACGGGGAUUUCGUACAAGGUUUCUAGAAGCGAAUGCUACGUUUAUUAAGAUCAACAGAGAAAUUGGAAGCUUCCUUUCGUGCAAAUUAGGUUCGCGCAUUCGCUGGUCAGUGGUGUAGCGAAUCAAAUAUCAACGUCAAUUCGAUAAAAGUUUGAUCCCGUCACUCACUCAUAUUAUUCACUCACACUGCUGUUCUGGAAGCACUGGCCUUAUACGCGAGUGUAAGUGGCCACUAAACUGAUGGCACCUCCUCCUCUCCCCAGAUUUUAGAAGCUUCGAUGGCGGCAGUUAUUGUCGUUGUCGAGGUGGCAAGCGGAUAAGACACGCAGUUUUGUCCGCCACAUGGGCGCACGGACACGCGUCGCCAGGUCAUUCGCGCUUAAGCCGCCAAAUCAGCCGCAAAGACGAGAAUAUUCUCAUUCAGAUUCUCCUCGAAUAUUCGGGUCCCGUUUGCUUAUAAGGGCCAUUCCU